UACGUAGGGUGCAAGCGUUGUCCGGAAUUAUUGGGCGUAAAGAGCUCGUAGGCGGUCUGUCGCGUCUGCUGUGAAAACUCGGGGCUUAACCCCGGGCCUGCAGUGGGUACGGGCAGACUAGAGUGCGGUAGGGGAGACUGGAAUUCCUGGUGUAGCGGUGAAAUGCGCAGAUAUCAGGAGGAACACCGGUGGCGAAGGCGGUGGUCUGGGCCGGCACUGACGCUGAGGAGCGAAAGCGUGGGUAGCAAACAGG
rnacentral:rRNA from 1 species